GACGAACGCUGGCGGCGUGCCUAAUACAUGCAAGUCGAACGCUUCUUUCCUCCCGAGUGCUUGCACUCAAUUGGAAAGAGGAGUGGCGGACGGGUGAGUAACACGUGGGUAACCUACCCAUCAGAGGGGGAUGACACUUGGAAACAGGUGCUAAUACCGCAUAACAGUUUAUGCCGCAUGGCAUAAGAGUGAAAGGCGCUUUCGGGUGUCGCUGAUGGAUGGACCCGCGGUGCAUUAGCUAGUUGGUGAGGUAACGGCUCACCAAGGCCACGAUGCAUAGCCGACCGGAGGGGGGGAGCGGCCCAACUGGGACUGAGACACGGCCCAGACCCCUACGGGAGGCAGCAGUAGGGAAUCUUCGGAAAUGGACGAAAGUCUGACCGGGCAACGCCGCGUGAGUGAAGAAGGGUUUCGGAUCGUAAAACCUUGUUGUUAGAGAAAAACAAGGACGUUAGUAACGGAACGUCCCCUGACGGUAUUAAACCAAAAAGCCACGGCGAACUACGG
rnacentral:rRNA from 1 species